UUCACAAGAACCCAACACAGCGUCCCCCAAUCACUAGUACUCUAGUACGGGAGCGCUUAACUUAUAUAUUCUUGACAGGACGACGAGCUUAGUCGAUUUAGCCAUGUCCGCCUAUCUGUCCGUCCGUGUAUAUCACGCGCAUAUCAAGUUUUUCUCUCAAAAUCGAUAACUACUUCGUUUAUAUUAUAACAGCUAUACAUAAGUGUCGUAAUAUGAGCGGUCACUUAUGUAUAAACCGGCCUGCAGCGUGGGAUCUGCAGCGUAAGCAUUAUUACGUUCUUGCCCACGACGUAGUUUAAACACUUGAAUGCAUGUAUAUGCCUUCUGCAUGUACAUACAAACAUAUAAAUGCAUACGUACGGCAUGCUAUAAACUCCCGUUCUGCAGCUGCUUUUAGCGAAAGAACUCUUUAUGUAAACUUUAUGUAUUUAGGCUAAGACGAAACCUUUUUGAAUUGAAUAAAACAUCCAUAUUUGACCACUUGAAA